rnacentral:rRNA from 1 species
UACAGAGGGGGCAAGCGUUAUUCGGAAUUAUUGGGCGUAAAGGGCGCGUAGGCGGCCUGACAAGUGGAAGGUGAAAUCCCUCGGCUUAACCGAGGAACUGCCCUCCAAACUGUUUGGCUUGAGACCGGGAGAGGUGAGUGGAAUUCCCAGUGUAGCGGUGAAAUGCGUAGAUAUUGGGAGGAACACCAGUGGCGAAGGCGGGUCUCUGGGCAACAACUGACGCUGAGGAGCGAAAGCGUGGGGAGCGAACAGG